UACGGGGGGGGCAAGCGUUGUUCGGAAUUACUGGGCGUAAAGGGCUCGUAGGCGGCCAACUAAGUCAGACGUGAAAUCCCUCGGCUUAACCGGGGAACUGCGUCUGAUACUGGAUGGCUUGAGUUUGGGAGAGGGAUGCGGAAUUCCAGGUGUAGCGGUGAAAUGCGUAGAUAUCUGGAGGAACACCAGAGGCGAAGGCGGCGACCUGGACAAGUACUGACACUCAACUACGAAAGCGUGGGGAGCAAACAGG
rnacentral:rRNA from 1 species